rnacentral:rRNA from 1 species
GACGAACGCUGGCGGCGUGCUUAACACAUGCAAGUCGAACGGUGAAGCGCCUUCCUUUUUGGUGGGUGUGGAUGAGUGGCGAACGGGUGAGUAACACGUGAGUAACCUGCCCCCUUCUUCUGGAUAACCGCAUGAAAGUGUGGCUAAUACGGGAUAUUCUGGGUCUGUCGCAUGAUGGGUCUGGGAAAGAUAUUGUUUCGGUGGGGGAUGGGCUCGCGGCCUAUCAGCUUGUUGGUGGGGUGAUGGCCUACCAAGGCGGUGACGGGUAGCCGGCCUGAGAGGGUGGACGGUCACACUGGGACUGAGACACGGCCCAGACUCCUACGGGAGGCAGCAGUGGGGAAUAUUGCACAAUGGGCGCAAGCCUGAUGCAGCGACGCCGCGCGAGGGAUGGAGGCCUUCGGGUUGUGAACCUCUUUCGCCAGUGAAGCAGGCCUGCCCCGUUUGUGGGUGGGUUGACGGUAGCUGGAUAAGAAGCGCCGGCUAACUACGUG